GACAGAGGUGCCGAGCGUUAGGCGGAAUCACUGGGCUUAAAGCGUGUGUAGAUGGAUGCCUAAGUACCUUGUGAAAUCCCACGGCUUAACCGUGGAACUGCUUGGUAUACUGGGUGUCUUGAGCCAGCUAGGGGCUACCGGAACAAAUGGUGGAGCGGUGAAAUGCGUAGAUAUCAUUUGGAACGCCAAUGGUGAAAACAGGUAGCUGGGGCUGUGCUGACACUGAGACACGAAAGCCAGGGGAGCGAACGGG
rnacentral:rRNA from 1 species